GGGGGCGAUUUGGAUUCGACGCCGGUAUUAAAACCUAAAGUGCAUGUCGAGAGGGUAGUGACUCUCGUAAAACAAUCGCUGCAACUUUAUAGUUGCCAACGACGAUAGCUACGCCCUAGCAGCCUAAGAGCUUGCUAGCGAUUGCCACUGGGAUGUCCGUAAACUGGUGUUCGCAAUUGUCAUCUAGAACGGAAUCGCCAGCUAAGCGCGCUUGACGCAAAGCGGCUAAAAAGUAUCAAGCUCGCCCAAAUCACCCUGCCCGUCGGGCGGAUACGGGUUAACUCAAUAGACGACGCUAUGCAUGUAGAGCUGAAGGAAGAGAGCUGACGGACGGGGGUUCAACUCCCCCCGCCUCCACCA
rnacentral:tmRNA from 2 species